rnacentral:rRNA from 1 species
UGGGGAAUUUUGGACAAUGGGCGCAAGCCUGAUCCAGCCAUUCCGCGUGCAGGAUGAAGGCCCUCGGGUUGUAAACUGCUCUUGUACGGAACGAAAAGGCUUUCUACAAUACAGAGGGCUCAUGACGGUACCGUAAGAAUAAGCACCGGAUAACUACGUGCCAGCAGCCGCGGUAAUACGUAGGUACCGAGCGUUAUCCGGAUUUACUGGGCGUAAAGCGUGUUCAGGCGGUCUGGCAAGUCGGGCAUGAAAUCUCUCGGCUCAACCGGGAGGGGUUGUCCGAUACUGCUGGGCUUGAGGGCAGCAGAGGGUGGUGGAAUUCCGGGUGUAGUGGUGAAAUGCGUAGAUAUCCGGAGGAACACCAGUGGCGAAGGCGGCCACCUGGGCUGUACCUGACGCUCACACACGAAAGCUAGGGGAACGAA